AAUCGAGCUGUAACACUCAUCACUGCAGUCCACAGCUUCAUUUCUUGAAGCCUGUGAGACCACGAACCCUUCAAUCGAGAAAAACCUUCGAUAAGGAGAAGACUUCUCAUCUCAUUUCUGGGGUCUGGUCCGGGAUUUCUCCAAAGCGGGGAUAAAAGCUGUUUGACAGCAUCUGCAACAAGUGGUUCACAAACACGUCCAUCAUCUACUUCCUCAACAAGAAGGAGCUGUUGGAGGAGAAGAUCACACACAGCCCCUGACCAUCUGCUUCCCUGAGUACACAGGGUCCAACAAGUAUGAUGAGGCAGCCAGCUACAACCAGAGUAAGUCUGAGGACCUGAAUAAGCACAAAGACACCAAGGAGAUCUACACACACUUCACAUGCGCCACCGAUACCAAGAACGUAGUUCGUGUUUGAUGCCAUCACCGACGUCAUCAUCAAGAACAACCUGAAGGACUGGGGCCUCUUCUGAGGGGCAGUGGGACCUAGCAGGAUGGGCCACCACCAACUCUGUACCCCCCAACCCCUGAGGAAGAUGGGGCAAGAAGACCAUGGUCCCCACCUGUUCCCUGGACACUUUUCUCUUCUUUCCUUUGUUCUUAGCUCCCCCAUCCCCUCAGCUUCAGACAUAGGGGAGGGGUUGCCACAGGCCUCCCUGUUUGAAGCCUGCCCUUGUCUGAGGUGCCAGUAAUGGCCAUGGUACCCCCUUUCUGGGCAUCUUUCUGGUACCCCCCAGAAGCUGUGAAGAUUCUAUUCUACUCAGUAGCUCUCAUUAUGUAAAGAGGAACCCUGAAAUAAAUCAGUUGUUCCUGAAAGUUCACAAGAGUAAGAAAACAGACUGAAUCGUAAAAGAACUAACUGGUAUAAAAGAAGAAGCCAGAAAGUAGUGGACUGGGACCAGAGAAAUAAUAUUUGAAUUUAAUUAAUCUGUUCAACAAAUAUUUGCUCCUUGCUAACAUUUUGCCAGGUCCUAUGCUUGUUAUACAGUUUUGAUCAGACAGACACGGCCCAAGGGUACUUAGAAAGCUAGUUGCGGGUGAAGGGGGAGAGCCAAUGUACAAGAAAACAAAUAUAUAUAAUUGUAAGUUACAGUGGUGCUACAACAGAAAAAAAGAGGUUGCCAUGUAAGAUGAUAAGAAGGUAUAAGGAAUUUACUUUGGACCAAGCAUUCAGGAAGGCCUCUGAGGAAGGCAAAGCUUGACCAGAGGGUAGGAGGAACUCAGAGGACAGUGAAAGGAGAGAGGAAUAAGGGGUGGGGGGGGAGGGUGGAGAUUUCAAGGUGGAGUGAAAAAUGCAAAGAUCCUAAAAUAAAAGCAUCUCUAAGAA
rnacentral:lncRNA from 1 species